AGUACCCUGGUCACAAGCAAGAGAACAAACAUGAUGUACCAGCUCUUUUGAGGAUCAAACUUUGGCUCGGCCUGCAGUCCGAGGAGGACGCAUGGCACCAGAUGCAGAAAGAAGGUGAAAUGGCAGUGUUUGCUGAAACUUAUGAGAACCAACAGGAAGUACCCACACCCAGCUGGCAAUGGGAAGGUGAAUGGUAUAUUAACCCUGAGUUGAGUAUGAGACAGCCUGGAACCAACUGGGUAGAGUCAACCAGACCUUGGUCAAAUGUUG